AGGACUAACGCUGGCGGCGUGCCUAACACAUGCAAGUCGAACGAGGGGUAGCAAUACCCCUAGUGGCAGACGGGUGAGUAACACGUAGUCAACCUACCUCUUAAUGGGGGAUAACUAGCCGAAAGGUUAGCUAAUACCGCAUACGAUCGUCGAGUGGCAUCACACGACGAUGAAAGGAGCAAUCCGUUGAGAGAGGGGACUGCGUCCCAUUAGUUAGUUGGUGGGGUAAUGGCCUACCAAGACUCCGAUGGGUAGCUGGCUUGAGAGAGCGACCAGCCACACUGGAACUGAGACACGGUCCAGACUCCUACGGGAGGCAGCAGUGAGGAAUUUUCCGCAAUGGGGGAAACCCUGACGGAGCGACGCCGCGUGUGGGAAGAAGGCCUUCGGGUCGUAAACCACUGUCGAGGGGACGAUAUUGACGGUACCCCUGGAGGAGCCCGGCUAACUACGCGCCAGCAGCCGC
rnacentral:rRNA from 1 species